AGGGAUGUAGCUCAGUUGUAGAACAUUGGCUUUGCAUGCAGAAUGUCCUGGUUCAAUCCCUGGCAUCUCCA